rnacentral:rRNA from 1 species
UACAGAGGUCUCGAGCGUUAGGCGGAAUCACUGGGCUUAAAGCGUGUGUAGGUGGAUCGUUAAGUACCUUGUGAAACCCCACGGCUUAACCGUGGAACUGCUUGGUAUACUGGCGGUCUUGAGCCACUUAGGGGCUACCGGAACAAAUGGUGGAGCGGUGAAAUGCGUAGAUAUCAUUUGGAACGCCAAUGGUGAAAACAGGUAGCUGGGAGUGUGCUGACACUGAGACACGAAAGCCAGGGGAGCAAACGGG